rnacentral:rRNA from 1 species
UACGAGAGGCCCAAACGUUAUUCGGAAUUACUGGGCGUAAAGCGCGCGUAGGCGGCUUUGCAAGUUAGAGGUGAAAGCCCGGAGCUCAACCCCGGAACUGCCUUUAAAACUGCAUAGCUUGAAUCCGGGAGAGGUGAGUGGAAUUCCGAGUGUAGAGGUGAAAUUCGUAGAUAUUCGGAAGAACACCAGUGGCGAAGGCGGCUCACUGGACCGGUAUUGACGCUGAGGUGCGAAAGCGUGGGGAGCAAACAGG